GGUCAAGCUACUAAGAGCAUAGGGUGAAUGCCUUGGCACCAGAAGGCGAUGAAGGACGUGACAAGCUGCGAAAAGCUGCGGAGAGGCGCAAAUAGCCAUUGACCCGCAGAUAUCCGAAUGGGGGAACCCGGCCGAGUUAAACACUCGGUCAUCGUUACAUGAAUACAUAGUGUAACGAGGGCAUACGUUGGGAACUGAAACAUCUAAGUACCAACAGGAGUAGAAAUCAAAAGAGAUUCCGUAAGUAGUGGCGAGCGAAAGCGGAUUAGCCCAAACCAGGUGAUAGCAAUAUCACCU
rnacentral:ncRNA from 1 species